CCUCCUCCUUUUCUACAUGGCGGCAAUCAAACUUGUAAACAAACAUGCUCGGCACAAAGUUUAAACAGUGCACUGGUUUAAAGCUUCAAUGCGGUUCUAGUAGUGGCAAAAUAGCUUCGAGUGUUUACUUUUCACUUCGAGGUAUUUGAAAUGAGUGCACCAGCAUUGUACAGGUACAGGACAACAAAACAGUUUUGUGAAGAACGCAGAACAGGACCUGAAGGAGCAAGACACAGGCCGCAUGCUCGAGUGAGAGAAACAGGGAUUCAUCUACGGAAAAUAGAAAAAGAAGUCCACGCAAUAUUUCUUCAGGAACUUCUUUCCGGCACCUCUUCUGUCUGAACGUAGCUGACCCUCUGACAAACGGACCCAAUUUUCCCUUUCCAAUUUACGUGGGAUGAGGACAGCACUGCGCAUUAAAG